ensembl:misc_RNA Y_RNA Y RNA
GGCUGAUCUGAGUAGUGGUAUUUACAGCUAAUUGAGCACAACCAGUUACAGAUUACUUUGUUCCUUCUCCACUCCUACUGCUUCACUUGACUAGCUUUUU